rnacentral:rRNA from 1 species
UACAGAGGGGGCAAGCGUUAUUCGGAAUUAUUGGGCGUAAAGGGCGCGUAGGCGGCUUGGCAAGUGGAUGGUGAAAUCCCUCGGCUUAACCGAGGAACUGCCGUCCAAACUGCUUCGCUUGAGACCGGGAGAGGUGAGUGGAAUUCCCAGUGUAGCAGUGAAAUGCGUAGAUAUUGGGAGGAACACCAGUGGCGAAGGCGGCUCACUGGACCGGUACUGACGCUGAUGCGCGAAAGCGUGGGGAGCAAACGGG